rnacentral:rRNA from 1 species
CUAAUACCGGAUAACAUUUAGAACCGCAUGGUUCUAAAGUGAAAGAUGGUUCUGCUAUCACUUAUAGAUGGACCCGCGCCGUAUUAGCUAGUUGGUAAGGUAACGGCUUACCAAGGCGACGAUACGUAGCCGACCUGAGAGGGUGAUCGGCCACACUGGAACUGAGACACGGUCCAGACUCCUACGGGAGGCAGCAGUAGGGAAUCUUCCGCAAUGGGCGAAAGCCUGACGGAGCAACGCCGCGUGAGUGAUGAAGGGUUUCGGCUCGUAAAACUCUGUUAUUAGGGAAGAACAAAUGUGUAAGUAACUGUGCACAUCUUGACGGUACCUAAUCAGAAAGCCACGGCUAACUACGUGCCAGCAGCCGCGGUAAUACGUAGGUGGCAAGCGUUAUCCGGAAUUAUUGGGCGUAAAGCGCGCGUAGGCGGUUUCUUAAGUCUGAUGUGAAAGCCCACGGCUCAACCGUGGAGGGUCAUUGGAAACUGGGGAACUUGAGUGCAGAAGAGGAAAGUGGAAUUCCAUGUGUAGCGGUGAAAUGCGCAGAGAUAUGGAGGAACACCAGUGGCGAAGGCGACUUUCUGGUCUGUAACUGACGCUGAUGUGCGAAAGCGUGGGGAUCAAACAGGAUUAGAUACCCUGGUAGUCCACGCCGUAAACGAUGAGUGCUAAGUGUUAGGGGGUUUCCGCCCCUUAGUGCUGC